rnacentral:rRNA from 1 species
CCUACGGGAGGCAGCAGUGAGGAAUAUUGGUCAAUGGACGCAAGUCUGAACCAGCCAUGCCGCGUGCAGGAUGACGGCUCUAUGAGUUGUAAACUGCUUUUGUACGAGGGUAAACCCCGAUACGUGUAUCGGGUUGAAAGUAUCGUACGAAUAAGGAUCGGCUAACUCCGUGCCAGCAGCCGCGGUAAUACGGAGGAUCCGAGCGUUAUCCGGAUUUAGUGGGUUUAAAGGGUGCGUAGGCGGUUUGAUAAGUUAGAGGUGAAAUGGCGGGGCUCAACCCCGAAACUGCCUCUAAAACUGUUUGACUUGAGAAUAGUUGCGGUAGGCGGAAUGUAUGGUGUAGCGGUGAAAUGCUUAGAGAUCAUACAGAACACCGAUUGCGAAGGCAGCUUACCAAACUAUAUCUGACGUUGAGGCACGAAAGCGUGGGUAGCAAACAGGAUUAGAUACCCUUGUAGUC